UUUAAGGUUUCAAGUAUGCUCGGGCUCAGUCCAAUAUGAACUCUCGGCAAUUUCUCCAGCACCAUAUCUGCCUGUAUGCUUCCGUGCUUCUCAUCAUGAUGAUAAUGGACUAAGCCUCUAAACCGAUCUGCUUUGGUUUUCUUCUCUUUCCUGGUGAUGCUUUUUAGCUUUGCAUACAGAUUCUCUCCUUCAGAAUGUACAAAUCUGCUUGACAACUGGACGAUGCGCAUUUCUACUUUCAUAAGUUCCUUGCAGUUUUCUUUGACCCACGAUGUGCUAGUCAGGGCAUGCAUUUGAC